GAUGAACGCUGGCGGCGUGCUUAACACAUGCAAGUCGAACGAUGAUGCCCAGCUUGCUGGGUGGAUUAGUGGCGAACGGGUGAGUAACACGUGAGUAACCUGCCCUUGACUCUGGGAUAAGCCUGGGAAACUGGGUCUAAUACCGGAUACGACCAUCUGGCGCAUGUCAUGGUGGUGGAAAGCUUUUGUGGUUUUGGAUGGACUCGCGGCCUAUCAGCUUGUUGGUGGGGUAAUGGCCUACCAAGGCGACGACGGGUAGCCGGCCUGAGAGGGUGACCGGCCACUCUGGGACUGAGACACGGCCCAGACUCCUACGGGAGGCAGCAGUGGGGAAUAUUGCACAAUGGGCGCAAGCCUGAUGCAGCGACGCCGCGUGAGGGAUGACGGCCUUCGGGUUGUAAACCUCUUUCAGUAGGGAAGAAGCGAAAGUGACGGUACCUGCAGAAGAAGCGCCGGCUAACUACGUG
rnacentral:rRNA from 1 species